rnacentral:rRNA from 1 species
CGAGGAAUAUUGGUCAAUGGGCGCAAGCCUGAACCAGCCAUCCCGCGUGCAGAAAGACGGCGCUAUGCGUUGUAAACUGCUUUUCCAGGGGGAGAAACUUGCGCACGUGUUGCGCAAUUGACGGUGCCCUGGGAAUAAGCAUCGGCUAACUCCGUGCCAGCAGCCGCGGUAAUACGGAGGAUGCGAGCGUUAUCCGGAUUCAUUGGGUUUAAAGGGUGCGUAGGCGGACUAUUAAGUCAGUGGUGAAAUCCUGCAGCUUAACUGCAGAACUGCCAUUGAUACUGAUAGCCUUGAGUUUGGUUAAGGUAGGCGGAAUGUGUAAUGUAGCGGUGAAAUGCUUAGAUAUUACACAGAACACCAAUUGCGUAGGCAGCUUACUGAGCCGACACUGACGCUGAGGCACGAAAGCGUGGGGAUCGAACAG